rnacentral:misc_RNA from 1 species
UUUCCGUAGGUGAACCUGCGGAAGGAUCAUUACCAAAACAGAGCAAUCUCGGCUUCGGCCUUGAAAGCUUCAACCUUUUGUGAACCAAACCUUUCUUUUCGCUUCGGCAGCAGCGGCGAUCCCGCCGCGUCAGCCUGCCGCUAGCACCCUUGAAAACUUGCUGUAUCUCAUGUCUGAACACGAAUAUUUUGAAUUCAAUCAAAACUUUCAACAACGGAUCUCUUGGUUCCC